UUCGCCCUUGGUUGAUCCCGCCGGACCUGACUGCUAUCGGAUUGAUACUAAGCCAUGCGAGUCAUUGUAGCAAUACAAGGCAUACGGCUCAGUAACGCGUAGUCAACCUAACCUAUGGACGGGAAUAACCUCGGGAAACUGAGAAUAAUGCCCGAUAGAACACUAUACCUGGAAUGGUUUGUGUUCCAAAUGAUUUAUCGCCGUAGGAUGGGACUGCGGCCUAUCAGUUUGUUGGUGAGGUAAUGGCCCACCAAGACUAUUACAGGUACGGGCUCUGAGAGGAGUAGCCCGGAGAUGGGUACUGAGACACGGACCCAGGCCCUAUGGGGCGCAGCAGGCGAGAAAACUUUGCAGUGUGCGAAAGCACGACAAGGUUAAUCCGAGUGAUUUGUGCUAAACGAAUCUUUUGUUAGUUCUAGAAAUACUAACGAAUAAGGGGUGGGCAAGUUCUGGUGUCAGCCGCCGCGGUAAAACCAGCACCUCAAGUGGUCAGGAUGAUUAUUGGGCCUAAAGCAUCCGUAGCCGGCUCUGUAAGUUUUCGGUUAAAUCUGUACGCUUAACGUACAGGCUGCCGGGAGUACUGCAGAGCUAGGGAGUGGGAGAGGUAGACGGUACUCGGCAGGAAGGGGUAAAAUCCUUUGAUCUAUUGAUGACCACCUGUGGCGAAGGCGGUCUACCAGAACACGUCCGACGGUGAGGGAUGAAAGCUGGGGGAGCAAACCGGAUUAGAUACCCGGGUAGUCCCAG
rnacentral:rRNA from 1 species